GACGAACGCUGGCGGCGUGCUUAACACAUGCAAGUCGAACGGAAAGGCCCUUUCGGGGGUACUCGAGUGGCGAACGGGUGAGUAACACGUGGGUGAUCUGCCCUGCACUUUGGGAUAAGCCUGGGAAACUGGGUCUAAUACCGAAUACACCCUGCUGGUCGCAUGGCCUGGUAGGGGAAAGCUUUUGCGGUGUGGGAUGGGCCCGCGGCCUAUCAGCUUGUUGGUGGGGUGAUGGCCUACCAAGGCGACGACGGGUAGCCGGCCUGAGAGGGUGNCCGGCCACACUGGGACUGAGAUACGGCCCAGACUCCUACGGGAGGCAGCAGUGGGGAAUAUUGCACAAUGGGCGCAAGCCUGAUGCAGCGACGCCGCGUGAGGGAUGACGGCCUUCGGGUUGUAAACCUCUUUCAGCACAGACGAAGCGCANGUGACGGUAUGUGCAGAAGAAGGACCGGCCAACUACGUGCCAGCAGCCGCGGUAAUACGUAGGGUCCGAGCGUUGUCCGGAAUUACUGGGCGUAAAGAGCUCGUAGGUGGUUUGUCGCGUUGUUCGUGAAAACUCACAGCUUAACUGUGGGCGUGCGGGCGAUACGGGCAGACUAGAGUACUGCAGGGGAGACUGGAAUUCCUGGUGUAGCGGUGGAAUGCGCAGAUAUCAGGAGGAACACCGGUGGCGAAGGCGGGUCUCUGGGCAGUAACUGACGCUGAGGAGCGAAAGCGUGGGGAGCGAACAGGAUUAGAUACCCUGGUAGUCCACGCCGUAAACGGUGGGUACUAGGUGUGGGUUUCCUUCCUUGGGAUCCGUGCCGUAGCUAACGCAUUAAGUACCCCGCCUGGGGAGUACGGCCGCAAGGCUAAAACUCAAAGGAAUUGACGGGGGCCCGCACAAGCGGCGGAGCAUGUGGAUUAAUUCGAUGCAACGCGAAGAACCUUACCUGGGUUUGACAUGCACAGGACGCCGGCAGAGAUGUCGGUUCCCUUGUGGCCUGUGUGCAGGUGGUGCAUGGCUGUCGUCAGCUCGUGUCGUGAGAUGUUGGGUUAAGUCCCGCAACGAGCGCAACCCUUGUCUCAUGUUGCCAGCACGUUAUGGUGGGGACUCGUGAGAGACUGCCGGGGUCAACUCGGAGGAAGGUGGGGAUGACGUCAAGUCAUCAUGCCCCUUAUGUCCAGGGCUUCACACAUGCUNCAAUGGCCGGUACAAAGGGCUGCGAUGCCGUGAGGUGGAGCGAAUCCUUUCAAAGCCGGUCUCAGUUCGGAUCGGGGUCUGCAACUCGACCCCGUGAAGUCGGAGUCGCUAGUAAUCGCAGAUCAGCAACGCUGCGGUGAAUACGUUCCCGGGCCUUGUACACACCGCCCGUCACGUCAUGAAAGUCGGUAACACCCGAAGCCGGUGGCCUAACCCUUGUGGAGGGAGCCGUCGAAGGUGGGAUCGGCGAUUGGGACGAAGUCGUAACAAGGUAG
rnacentral:rRNA from 2 species